ACGGGAGGCAGCAGUGGGGAAUAUUGGACAAUGGGGGAAACCCUGAUCCAGCGACGCCGCGUGAGUGAAGAAGUAUUUCGGUAUGUAAAGCUCUAUCAGCAGGGAAGAUAAUGACGGUACCUGACUAAGAAGCCCCGGCUAAAUACGUGCCUGCAGCCGCGGUAAUACGUAUGGAGCAAGCGUUAUCCGGAUUUACUGGGUGUAAAGGGAGCGCAGGCGGUUUUGCAAGUCUGAAGUGAAAGCCCGUGGCUCAACCGCGGGACUGCUUUGGAAACUGUAAAACUAGAGUAUCGGAGAGGCAAGUGGAAUUCCUAGUGUAGCGGUGAAAUGCGUAGAUAUUAGGAGGAACACCAGUGGCGAAGGCGGCUUGCUGGACGAUAACUGACGCUGAGGCUCGAAAGCGUGGGGAGCAAACAGGAUUAGAUACCCUGGUA
rnacentral:rRNA from 1 species